AGGCAGCAGUGGGGAAUCUUGCGCAAUGGGCGAAAGCCUGACGCAGCCAUGCCGCGUGUAUGAUGAAGGUCUUAGGAUUGUAAAAUACUUUCACCGGUGAAGAUAAUGACUGUAGCCGGAGAAGAAGCCCCGGCUAACUUCGUGCCAGCAGCCGCGGUAAUACGAAGGGGGCUAGCGUUGCUCGGAAUUACUGGGCGUAAAGGGAGCGUAGGCGGACAUUUAAGUCAGGGGUGAAAUCCCAGAGCUCAACUCUGGAACUGCCUUUGAUACUGGGUGUCUUGAGUGUGAGAGAGGUAUGUGGAACUCCGAGUGUAGAGGUGAAAUUCGUAGAUAUUCGGAAGAACACCAGUGGCGAAGGCGACAUACUGGCUCAUUACUGACGCUGAGGCUCGAAAGCGUGGGGAGCAAACAGGAUUAGAUACCCUGGUAGUCCACGCCGUAAACGAUGAUUGCUAGUUGUCGGGAUGUUUACAUCUCGGUGACGCAGCUAACGCAUUAAGCAAUCCGCCUGGGGAGUACGGUCGCAAGAUUAAAACUC
rnacentral:rRNA from 2 species